AUACGGAGGAUGCAAGCGUUAUCCGGAAUUAUUGGGCGUAAAGAGUGCGUAGGUGGUUACCUAAGCGCAGGGUUUAAGGCUACGGCUUAACUGUAGUUCGCCCUGCGAACUGGGCAACUUGAGUGCAGGAGAGGAAAGCGGAAUUCCUAGUGUAGCGGUGAAAUGCUUAGAUAUUAGGAGGAACACCAGUGGCGAAGGCGGCUUUCUGGACUGAAACUGACACUGAGGCACGAAAGCGUGGGGAGCAAACAGGAUUAGAUACCCUGGUAGUCCACGCCGUAAACGAUGAGCACUAGGUGUCGGGGGGAUCACCCUCGGUGCCGGAGUUAACGCAUUAAGUGCUCCGCCUGGGGAGUACGCACGCAAGUGUAAAACUCAAAGGAAUUGACGGGG
rnacentral:rRNA from 1 species